rnacentral:tRNA from 1 species
CACAGAUUAGAGAAACGGCAUCUCGCAAGGCUCAUAACCUUGAGGUAGUGGGUUCGACUCCCGCAUCUGCAACCA